rnacentral:rRNA from 1 species
AUUGAACGCUGGCGGUAUGCUUUACACAUGCAAGUCGAACGGCAGCACGGACUUCGGUCUGGUGGCGAGUGGCGAACGGGUGAGUAAUGUAUCGGAACGUGCCCAGUAGUGGGGGAUAACUACUCGAAAGAGUGGCUAAUACCGCAUGAGAUCUCUGGAUGAAAGCGGGGGACCGUAAGGCCUCGCGCUACUGGAGCGGCCGAUAUCAGAUUAGGUAGUUGGUAGGGUAAAGGCCUACCAAGCCUGCGAUCUGUAGCUGGUCUGAGAGGACGACCAGCCACACUGGGACUGAGACACGGCCCAGACUCCUACGGGAGGCAGCAGUGGGGAAUUUUGGACAAUGGACGCAAGUCUGAUCCAGCAAUACCGCGUGCAGGACGAAGGCCUUCGGGUUGUAAACUGCUUUUGUACGGAACGAAAGACCUUCUUCUAAUACAGGAGGUCAUGACGGUACCGUAAGAAUAAGCACCGGCUAACUACGUGCCAGCAGCCGCGGUAAAA